GGGUGUGUGUGCAUGGGCGGGGGUAGGGGGCAGCACAGGACAGUUCUGAGCACAGGCCUGGGCGUGAGGCCCCAGGUCAGCGCCUCCCUUGAGCCAGCUGCUCUCUGCUCAGCAGGGAGCCAGUCACCAAGGCCACAGGGGCAGGGAGGACAUUUGCAUGAGGACCUCCCUCCUGAGGAUAAAGAGGCCCAGAGGCCCAGCCAGCCUUGGGCUCAGAGGCAGAGCUCAGGGCACCUCCACCAUGGCCUGGACCCCUCUCCUGCUCCCCCUCCUCUCUCUCUGCACAGGUUAUGUGGCCUCUUCUAAGCUGACUCAGCCCCCGGGGGUGUCUGUGUCCUUGGGAGGGACGGCCAGCAUCGCCUGCCAAGGAGACAACUUUGGAAGUUAUUAUGCUCACUGGUACCAGCAGAAGCCUGGCCAGUCCCCCAUGCUGGUCAUUUAUGAAUACAACAAGAGAGCCUCAGGGAUCCCGGACCGGUUCUCUGGGUCCAAGUCGGGGAACACCGCCACCCUGACCAUCAGCGGGGCCCAGGCUGAGGACGAGGCCGACUACUACUGUCAGUCAUCCGAUGAUAGUUAUACUCCUCACAGUGACACAGGCGGAGGGGGACGUGGGACACAAACCCCUCCUCAACUGGGGCACCUUCUCCUCCAGCACCAGGAGGCCUGUGGGCAAAGCAAGAACAGGUGCCUCCUGGGUUCCACAGAUCUGAGCUCCCCCAUCUUCCCCUCGCCCAGCCCCCAGGCAGGCUCUGCACAGGGCGUUCAGGAGGGGAUUUAG